rnacentral:rRNA from 1 species
CACGUAGGGUGCGAGCGUUGUCCGGAAUUAUUGGGCGUAAAGGGCACGUAGGCGGUGAAUCGGGUUGAAAGUGAAAGUCGCCAAAAAGUGGCGGAAUGCUCUCGAAACCAAUUCACUUGAGUGAGGCAGAGGAGAGUGGAAUUUCGUGUGUAGGGGUGAAAUCCGUAGAUCUACGAAGGAACGCCAAAAGCGAAGGACAGCUCGUCUGGGAUCCCUACCCGACGGCUGG